UACAGUAGAGUCUCACUCAGGGGUCCUCAAACUUCUUAAGCCGAGGGCCGGUCCACAAUCCUUCAGACUGUUGAGGGGCCGGAUUAUCAUUUGGGGGGGGGGGGGGAAUGAACAAAUUCCUAUGCACACUGCACAUGUCUUAUUUGUAGUGCAAAACAACAAUAACAAUGAAAGAACAAAACAAUAUUUAAAAAUGAAAAUAAUUUUAACCAACAUAAACCUAUCAGGAUUUCAAUAGGAAGUGUGGGCCUGCCUCUGGCCAAUGAGAGAGUCAGGUUAAUUAGGAUUGUUGUUGUUGUUGUGUGUCUUCAAGUCAUUUCAGACUUUGGGCGAGCCUAAGUCCAAAAUUAUUUAUUUAUUCAUUUACUACAUUUAUAUUCCCUUCUCACCCCGAAGGGAACUCAGAGCAGCUGUAUGUACAUACAAUAUAUUAUAUUAUUAGCAUAGCACAAUAUUAGCAUUAUACUAUAUUGAACUAUACCACUAUACUGUAAUAUUAUAUGCAAUAUAUAACAUAAUAUUAUUAUAUGGUAUUAUUGUUAGUAUUAUAUUGUAGAAAAUGAUAAUAUUCUUAUCAAUAUUGUAUGUAUAUACAAUAUAUUAUAUUAUUAAAACUGAUAUAAAAACAUUAUAAAUGAGGGCGGGGGCCAGGUAAAUUACCUUGGAGGGCCACAUCCGGCCCCCGGGCCUUAGUUUGGGGACCCCUGGUCUCACUUAUCCAAGCUAAACGGUCCGGCAGAAGCUUGGAUAAGCGAAUAUCUUGGAUAAUAAGGAGGGAUUAAGGAACAUCCUGCCACACCCUGGACUCUACACAGAUAUAUAUUCUUUCCUUUCCUUACUUAGUUUAUCCAUACCUCACAACCUCUGAGGAUGCCUGCCAUAGAUGUGGGUGAAACGUCAGGAGAGAAUACUUCUGGAACAUGGCCACACAGCCCGAAAGAUAUACAACAACCCUGUGAUCCCGGCCAUGAAAGCCUUCGACAACAGAUUAAGGAAAAGCCUAUUAAACAUCAAAUCAUAACCUAAUUUGAUGUUUAAUAGGCUUUUCCUUAAUCCCUCCUUAUUAUCCAACAUAUUCGCUUAUCCAACGUUCUGUCGGCCCAUUUACGUUGGAUAAGUGAGACUCUACUGUACGUGGAGGAAUACAUAACAUUCCUUAAAAUGAAAAAAGCAACUAUCAAUCAAGCGCCUCUAUUUGCAUGUCACAAGUUAGGCUCCCAACCAAUUUGCAGGGCCACUGUGUGGGU
rnacentral:lncRNA from 1 species